rnacentral:rRNA from 1 species
UACGGAGGGGGCUAGCGUUGUUCGGAAUUACUGGGCGUAAAGCGCGCGUAGGCGGAUCUGCAAGUCGGGGGUGAAAUCCCGAGGCUCAACCUCGGAACUGCCUUCGAUACUGCGGGUCUCGAGUCCGGGAGAGGUGAGUGGAAUUCCUAGUGUAGAGGUGAAAUUCGUAGAUAUUAGGAAGAACACCAGUGGCGAAGGCGGCUCACUGGCCCGGUACUGACGCUGAGGAGCGAAAGCGUGGGGAGCAAACAGG